GACCUACGGGGGGCAGCAGUAGGGAAUCUUCCACAAUGGGCGAAAGCCUGAUGGAGCAACGCCGCGUGGGUGAAGAAGGUCUUCGGAUCGUAAAACCCUGUUGUUAGAGAAGAAAGUGCGUGAGAGUAACUGUUCACGUUUCGACGGUAUCUAACCAGAAAGCCACGGCUAACUACGUGCCAGCAGCCGCGGUAAUACGUAGGUGGCAAGCGUUAUCCGGAUUUAUUGGGCGUAAAGGGAGUGCAGGCGGUUCAAUAAGUCUGAUGGUAAAGCCUUC
rnacentral:rRNA from 1 species